rnacentral:rRNA from 1 species
GACGAACGCUGGCGGCGUGCUUAACACAUGCAAGUCGAGCGGAGCGGCGAACGGGUGAGUAACGCGUGAGUAACCUGCCUUUGACAUUGGGAUAGCCUCGGGAAACUGGGAUUAAUACCAAAUGGUCAAAGAUGGACUCGCGGCUGAUUAGCUAGUUGGUGAGGUAACGGCCCACCAAGGCGACGAUCAGUAGCCGGCCUGAGAGGGUGAUCGGCCACAUCGGAACUGAGACACGGUCCAAACUCUACGGGAGGCAGCAGUGGGGAAUAUUGCAAAAUGGGGGAAACCCUGAUGCAGCGACGCCGCGUGAGCGAAGAAGGCCUUCGGGUCGUAAAGCUCUUUUAUGAGGGAAGCGGUACCUCAAGAAAAAGCCCCGGCUAACUACGUGCCAGCAGCCGCGGUAAUAC